rnacentral:rRNA from 1 species
UACGUAGGGUGCAAGCGUUGUCCGGAAUUAUUGGGCGUAAAGAGCUCGUAGGCGGUUUGUUGCGUCGGCUGUGAAAUCCCGAGGCUCAACCUCGGGUCUGCAGUCGAUACGAGCAAACUAGAGUGUUGCAGGGGAGACUGGAAUUCCUGGUGUAGCGGUGAAAUGCGCAGAUAUCAGGAGGAACACCGGUGGCGAAGGCGGUUCUCUGGGCAUUACCUGACGCUGAGGAGCGAAAGCAUGGGGAGCAAACAGG